rnacentral:sRNA from 1 species
CGUCACUUAUGUUGCUUCUGGCAUACAGAACCUUUUUUUUUUCCUUUUUUUCACAUAAAUGCCCACAUAUCUCCAUAACAAUGGGCAUUUUCAAAACUACGGACAUCCGGAUUAGAUCCUGAGCUUUCCAUUGAUAUUCAUAAAAAGGAACCCCCGCAUAUAGAUAAGUAUAACUAUCCAUUUGUCGAACAACGCUGGACGGGAUAAUAUUACGUAAUGUCUCUUAUCUCGGCAGGGACUUUUGGAGACAUAUACACGCAUAUCUCCACAACCAGCCAACUUCUAGGGAGCACUUUGACAUGCCCAUAUAGCUCAAGGUCUAGAUCACACAUCGAGAUAAGAAAAAUGGGAUCCCCCACACGUAUAGGUGGUAUUGUUGUCCAUUUACAGAACGUCUCACAAAAGGUAAUGUUACGUAAGGUCCCCUUAUCUCAGCCGCUCAUGACACGCACCUCGCGCGAAACAUGCACCCACAUUCCCUUUCAUCCAUCCUUUCCCAUCACUUCUUUUCCAUGAGGACAAACAUCACUAUGUUGUCCCAUCAAAGGAUCCAUCUUCUAUCACUGUCCUUCGACUGACUGACCGCUUCUAUUCUACAAAAUGAGCCUCCCUCGCAUUCUACCCGGCAUUCUUCAGUCGCCUGGCAUCCAACGAGCUCCCCGAAAGUGAAACUCCUCGCGCCUCAUCACCACCACUGCGCGACGACGUCGGGUAACACGAUAUCCUUUCCGGAGAGGUUCGCCUCGACGGAGGCCCUUAUGGGCUGACGCAAGGAUGGUGCAUCUCUCUUUUGAGAUCACUUUGCCUCGGGAUUCGUGCCAACUGACCGAAUCAAGCGGUGUACGGCUGAUGUCUCCGGUGUUCGCCAAACAAUCAUCCGUACUCUCCGUCCUCCUCUUCUCUUCGACCUAGGGCAAUAUCGUACAUAGGUAGAGAGCGUCACAGAUCGUCUGCCAGUGUCUGUUUCCGAGCUCAGUCCUUACUAUAAACCAGACCAGUCGUGCGGUGCACUCAACCAAGAGAAGCAAUUAGUGCAGGAGAGAAAUUAAUUACCUGUUCACCUAUCUCUUUAUUUCAAGACGGAAACAAACUCGCAAAGCAUGCAACGGAGGAAGUCGACGAGUCAAGCAGAGAUCACUCUCAGACAUUUAGUCGACAUGAUUGUCUUGUCUCUUUGGAGAAAAGUGGUAAUAAGGGCUGGUUGCUUAGUGCGUCAUUACUUCGGCUGCCUUUCGGGCUUAUCAAUAAGCUGUGGUGAGAGCACAAAUGUUACACUGUGUGAGUCCACCGUUGUUUUCCGCUGUUUUCCCCAAGCAGCGUCCGCGUUGCUCGUGGAGGAUGUGUCAAGUCUACCCAAAAUUGGCUAUAGGACGGAACACAUCAAGCUAACAGUUACGCCAGUCUCUGCCUUCUUCCUGUCGUGACUCCUAUCAUUACCACGCUGCGCCUCAACUCUAACUCUGAGUAGGAUUCUGUGUCGCAUCUCUACUGCAUUAUCCUUGGACAUGACGACUUGUGCCACUGCUGAAAUCCAUGAACUCAACGACGCCAUGACGCCAUCAACUGAACCAUACACCAACAUCUCAGCCAGGUCAAGGGCGCUAUGGUCGAAAUUGAGCCUCCCACCCUUACAGGCCCGCGAAGGAAUGACUUGAGAGUUAGAGAGACGAGCUCCCUCACCGUUACGGACUAUGAUCUAAAAAAGGUAUACUCUCUAGGAGACCAGGAGAAAGAGACAGUCAUUUUUACAUAUUUGAUUUUAUUUUAAUUUUUACAUAGUGUAUAACGACGCAAUAAAUUAAACACGAACCAAAUGCAACCUCCUAC